rnacentral:rRNA from 1 species
GUGGAUUAGAUACCCCGGUAGUCCACGCCGUAAACGUUGGGCGCUAGGUGUGGGGGACAUUCCACGUCCUCCGUGCCGCAGCUAACGCAUUAAGCGCCCCGCCUGGGGGGUACGGCCGCAAGGCUAAAACUCAAAGGAAUUGACGGGGGCCCGCACAAGCGGCGGAGCAUGCGGAUUAAUUCGAUGCAACGCGAAGAACCUUACCUGGGUUUGACAUAUAGGGAAAUCUCCCAGAGAUGGGGGGUCCGUAAGGGUCCUAUACAGGUGGUGCAUGGCUGUCGUCAACU